rnacentral:rRNA from 1 species
GUGAGUAACGCGUGGGAACGUACCCUUCGGUGCGGAAUAGGCCCUGGAAACGGGGUUUAAUACCGCAUACGCCCUUUUGGGGAAAGAUUUAUCGCCGAAGGAUCGGCCCGCGUUGGAUUAGGUAGUUGGUGGGGUAACGGCCUACCAAGCCGACGAUCCAUAGCUGGUUUUAGAGGAUGAUCAGCCACACUGGGACUGAGACACGGCCCAGACUCCUACGGGAGGCAGCAGUGGGGAAUCUUAGACAAUGGGCGCAAGCCUGAUCUAGCCAUGCCGCGUGAGUGAUGAAGGUCUUAGGAUCGUAAAGCUCUUUCGCUGGGGAAGAUAAUGACGGUACCCAGUAAAGAAACCCCGGCUAACUCCGUGCCAGCAGCCGCGGUAAUACGGAGGGGGUUAGCGUUGUUCGGAAUUACUGGGCGUAAAGCGCGCGUAGGCGGACUGGAAAGUUGGGGGUGAAAUCCCGGGGCUCAACCUCGGAACUGCCUCCAAAACUAUCAGUCUAGAGUUC